UUGAACGUUGGCGGCAGGCCUUAGACAUGCAAGUCGAACGGUAACAGCGGAGCUUGCUCCGGCUGACGAGUGGCGGACGGGUGAGUAACGCGUAGGAAUCUGCCUGAUAGUGGGGGAUAGCCCGAAGAAAUUCGGAUUAAUACCGUAUACCUCCUUCGGGAGAAAGAAGGCCUCUCUUUGAAGCUUUCGCUACUAGAUGAGCCUGCGUAAGAUUAGCUUGUUGGUGAGGUAAAGGCUCACCAAGGCUACGAUCUUUAGCGGGUCUGAGAGGACGAUCAGCCACAUUGGGACUGAGACACGGCCCAGACCUCCGUACGGGAGGCAGCAGGUGGGGAAUAGUUGG
rnacentral:rRNA from 1 species